CCUACGGGAGGCAGCAGUUGGGGAUAUUGCACAAUGGGGGAAACCCUGAUGCAGCGACGCCGCGUGGGUGAAGAAGUAUUUCGGUAUGUAAAGCCCUAUCAGCAGGGAAGAAAGAAGACGGUACCUGACUAAGACGCCCCGGCUAACUACGUGCCAGCAGCCACGGUAAUACGUAGGGGGCGAGCGUUAUCCGGAUGCACUGGGUGUAAAGGGUGCGUAGACGGCCGUGCAAGCCAGGAGUGAAAGCCCGGGGCCCAACCCCGGGACUGCUCUUGGAACUGGGCGGCUGGAGUGCGGGAGGGGCAGGCGGAAUUCCUGGUGUAGCGGUGAAAUGCGCAGAUAUCAGGAGGAACACCAGCGGCGAAGGCGGCCUGCUGGACCGCGACUGACGUUGAGGCUCGAAAGCGUGGGGAGCGAACAGGAUUAGAUACCCGAGUAGUC
rnacentral:rRNA from 1 species